rnacentral:rRNA from 1 species
UACGUAGGUGGCAAGCGUUGUCCGGAUUUAUUGGGCGUAAAGCGAGCGCAGGCGGUUCUUUAAGUCUGAUGUGAAAGCCCUCGGCUCAACCGAGGAAGGUCAUUGGAAACUGGGGAACUUGAGUGCAGAAGAGGAGAGUGGAAUUCCAUGUGUAGCGGUGAAAUGCGUAGAUAUAUGGAGGAACACCAGUGGCGAAGGCGACUCUCUGGUCUGUAACUGACGCUGAGGCUCGAAAGCGUGGGGAGCAAACAGG